rnacentral:lncRNA from 1 species
GUCGAAGAAAAAAGAUGUAAACUCCGUAAUGGCUGCACAAAGCAAUAACUCUCUCCCAUGAAAUACCAACCCUACCAUCCAACUCCACUCACAUACCAACUCUCUCUAAAUUACCAAGCACCUUCACCUACCUAUCAAAAUCCACAUCCCGUCUACCAAGCAACUCCACCAUCAACAUAUCAGCCCACCUCACAGUAUAUUCCCAACUCGGACCCGAAUACCAAGCAUACAACUCCUAACCUCCUCACUAUCCAUCACCGCCUACCCGCCAAAACUUCCCCAACCAAGACCAAACUAUGGCCGCAAACCGCCCAGACAGUAUACUGCUAUGUCUGAACCCAUUGACAAACUAUAUGAGAAGCUCAAAGCCGCUGGAUAUGUUACACCCAUCCCGACCAUAAACCUAGAAAACCCUUCCCAACGGAUCAACCCAAAUAGAACCUGCGCAUACCAUUCAGGGAUGAAGGUCCAUACCAUCGAUGAGUGCCGCUCGUUGAAGGACAAAAUCCAGACCUUAAUUGACAACAAGGUCAUCGUAUCUAAGGAGCCUGCUCCUAAUAUUCAUCACAACCCUCUACCAGACCAUAAGGUAGGGGCAUCCACAUGAUUGAGGCUGAGGAUGACUGUGACCCCGAGGGGUCAAUCGGUUCGAUAUCUGAAGGAGAUGAGCCCAAGAAACCAGCGGUCAAUAACCUGCUCCUAAUGUUCGUAAAAACCCUAUGCCAGACCACAAAGGUGGAGGCAUCCACAUGAUUGAGGUAGAAGACGACUGGGACCUCGAAGGGUCGAUUGGUUUGAUAUCUGAGGGAGAUGAGCUCAAGAAACCUCCGGUCACUCUUAAUCCUAUUGUUGUGCAAAUCCAUCCAUAUGAGGAAAACGUGGUGAAUAUAUCUGUACCAUUUGAGUUUGAGGCACCUCAUGAAAAAGUACCAAAACCAAUUGAGGUGGAGUUCGGG